rnacentral:rRNA from 1 species
UACGUAGGGUGCGAGCGUUGUCCGGAAUUAUUGGGCGUAAAGGGCUCGUAGGCGGUUUGUCGCGUCGGGAGUGAAAACACCGGGCUUAACUCGGUGCUUGCUUUCGAUACGGGCAGACUAGAGGCAUGCAGGGGAGAACGGAAUUCCUGGUGUAGCGGUGAAAUGCGCAGAUAUCAGGAGGAACACCGGUGGCGAAGGCGGCAUCCUGGACCAAUUCUGACACUGAGGAGCGAAAGCCAGGGGAGCAAACGGG